rnacentral:lncRNA from 1 species
CCUUCCAAGUAUUGUAUCCCAUGUGUCUGAUGUAAAAAACUACAUGGUGAAAUCCUCGGAGCCUAGACAGCCCUGAGACCCAAGAUGUGCAGCCACCCAGCUGGAGGGACCUCUCGGAGGACAGCAAAGGCUGGCCUGUUCCACACCCUUGCUGGGCCCAGGACCCACUGGCCAGCAGUGCACAGCCCCACCAGUGACUGUGAGCCAGGCCUGCAGAAGAAAGCCUGUGGAGGCUUUCCCUGCCUCCGUGUCACGGGGGCCACAUUGCAGACUCUGCAGCGAAUCACCACCGCAGGUGGUUCAGGAUGGUCUGUCACAAAGCUAUAUACAGAAGCACAGCAGGGAAGCUGCGCGCCCCUCCCCGCAGCCUUAGGUUUCAAAUAGCGUUUCUCAAGCGUCAGCACGCACGGAUCACCUGAAGAGCCUGUCAAUGGGCAGAUCCUGAUCUGAACAUGCAUCUCAUGCUGCUGCUGCUGCGUUGGCCCACGGGCCUCACUCUGUGCAGUGAGGGUGUGAAGGAGUGGAUGGCACAGAGCUGUGAUCUGAGCCUACCCCUUCCUCACGCAGG